AAAGAAUCAAAUGAGGCGCUGAAGAUGAGAAGAUCCAACAGGUAGACAAGGUUCAAAGAAUAUGGCGGGCAACCAGGCUACUUUACAGAGGAGAUACAAGUAACGUAUGUCCCUCCAUAACAAAAAGGAGAGGGGGGACGAAAGAGCUGAAAGAAAGCUGAGAUACAGGUACAACAAUCAAGGAUGAGCGCACACAAAAAUUGAUAAUCGAUGUUUAAAGAUUUCAUUAUCAGCCAAAGUCUACUAAUUGUGCAAAGAUGCAGAAGGUAGCAGGAGGAGGAUGGGCACAAGAUAGCACAUGUCUCCAAUCUCUGAAUUGAAAGAAGUCUGUCCAAGCCUGAAAACACAAAAAGCAAUCAAGGAGGAUACCUAGGGUAGCUUUCUAGGAGACUGGAAAUGCCUACUCGAUUGGGACUCACUACCCAAGCAAGCCAAGCUGUCCGCAACCCCAUUUACCUCAGGCAUAAAAAGAGAUGGUGACAUCGACAUUUCUCGCAUGUGUGGCUACCUAGGCCCACCAGUACCACAUAUUCUAGCUCACCAGGAAAAAGCUCAGAAUCACCUUUAUAAGAAAAAGGUUCUUCCUUAGGGACCUGAGCCCCUUCUAGCUAGAGACUAUACAUUGAUGAGCAUGGGAUGGAUGUGUCUUAUUCAAUUUUCCACACACACCGAGCCUGGGCUGUGAUUGUGGCACAAUGUGGUGUGGUGUAACGGUUUUCUCUUCAAUCUUUGUAAUGGUUUUCUCUUUAAUUUUUCAUUGUCCUAGAACAUUAUAGAUAUAAAUUUUAAUGAAGUUUAAAUCAAUGCAGGGAAAACGCCUGAUCGCUCUGUCUCAUUGUCAAAUUUCAAAUUAUUUUGCAGCCAAAGUCCCCUGUAGUUUCUUGGCUUGAUCUAGUAAUGCAACCAGAGCCAAGUACACACAUCUGAGGUGGGCCUGCUCAUAUCUUAGGGAAAUUUUUGCCAUUGAUUCAGUGCACUCCUGUGGGGCAGAAAGUAGAACUAAAGACAGUGACCAUGUUGUGUUCAGUAUCUUCCAAACACACUGCUACUGCUCAAAAAAGCUAAGAGGACUACUGGAGACAUACAAACAACCACCAUUCUUAUAUAAGUUUUCCAUGAAGAGAUUGGAUGUGAUGUUGAAAAGGUGGAUCCAGAAUGGAAAAUUAUAUUACUAACAUACUUCAACCCUGUCAGAGCCCCACAUCAGUGGUCAAAUUGGUGAAGAUUAAAAGGUU